UACAGAGGGUGCAAGCGUUAAUCGGAAUUACUGGGCGUAAAGGGUUUGUAGGUGGCCUGCUAAGUCAGACGUGAAAUCCCUCAGCUUAACUGGGGAACUGCGUCUGAUACUGGCGGGCUUGAGGACAGGAGAGGAACGCGGAAUUCCAGGUGUAGCGGUGAAAUGCGUAGAUAUCUGGAGGAACACCGGUGGCGAAGGCGGCGUUCUGGACUGUUUCUGACACUGAAAAACGAAAGCCAGGGGAGCAAACGGG
rnacentral:rRNA from 1 species